GCUUAACGCGAAGAACCUUACCCACCUUUGACAUCCCGUGCUACCUAGAGAGAUCUAGGGUCCCUUCGGGGCGCGGAGACAGGUGCUGCAUGGCUGUCGUCAGCUCGUGUCGUGAGAUGUUGGGUUAAGUCCCGCAACGAGCGCAACCCUCGCUUCUAGUUGCCAGCAUUUAGUUGGGCACUCUAGAGGAACUGCCUGCGCCAAGCAGGAGGAAGGCGGGGAUGACGUCAAGUCCUCAUGGCCCUUACAGGUGGGGCUACAAACGUGCUACAAUGGUGGUGACAGUGAGCAGCCACUCCGCAAGGAGGAGCUAAUCUCUAAAAGCCAUCUCAGUUCAGAUUGUCCUCUGCAACUCGAGGGCAUGAAGUUGGAAUCGCUAGUAAUCGUGGAUCAGCAUGCCACGGUGAAUACGUUCCCGGGUCUUGUACACACCG
rnacentral:rRNA from 1 species